UGGGCUUGACAUCCAUGUGAAAGCCCGUGUUUCCACGGGCUUUCACAUGGAUGUCAAGCCCAGGUAAGGUUCUUCGCGUUGCUUCGAAUUAAACCACAUGCUCCACCGCUUGUGCGGGCCCCCGUCAAUUCCUUUGAGUUUCAGCCUUGCGGCCGUACUCCCCAGGCGGGGUGCUUAACGCGUUAGCUGCGACACUGACGGGGUCGCUCCCCCCAGCAUCUAGCACCCAUCGUUUACGGCGUGGACUAC
rnacentral:misc_RNA from 1 species